AGCCGGGUCCCGCGCAACAGAGGCUUGCAAACUCCGUCAGGUCCGGGAGGAAGCAGCGGUAGCGAGUUUAUCUGUGUGCCGCGGGGGUGCCUGGCUAUC
rfam:Desulfurivibrio alkaliphilus AHT2, complete genome.